UCGGAUUAUUCGCUCUCCAGCAUCUUGGGUCACUACACCAGAGUUCUAUAAAAAGUUGCCUGUGAAAUUAAAACAACAACAACAACAACACAUGGAAUCCACUGCAUAGGUUCAAAAAAUAAGAGGAGCUGGUUUGUAACGGAAUGCUGUCUUCAUGCGCGCUCAGCCAUCGAGGCACAGAAUAAGCUGCGUCCGCAGCAGAUUUCUACGAUUAAAACGGUGGAUUGAGUGUUCAGGCCAGCAGGCAGUCCUUGUUUCAUGCAAUGGAGUGGACACAGUCCCCUGAUUUGCAGCUUUGAUCAGUCUACCCCAUGGGACUACCAGUAUUGGCCAGAAUCCUAUGUGACAGGUCCUUCUCUCAGCCCCUUCUGAAUUUACUUGCCUCCCGUGAGCUGCUACUUUUUCAAGACUCAGUAAGAAGACACGUUCAUGCAACCCUCUGGCUGCUGAAUACUUACCAAGCCUGCAUUUCCUGUUCUUCCCAUCCCCAAUUAAAUACUUAUUCUUUGAACUACAUUUCUCAAUUAUUUUCCAGUCAAGGUGUAAAUGAGAGCUAAAUAUCAC
rnacentral:lncRNA from 1 species